GUAUGAAGUGAAAUCUUUCGCAGGUGGAGGACCGUCCUCUGUUGAGGAAUGGGAGUGGAACGCCUUUUCUCAUAUCAGCACUUGGACAGCUCCCGGUCCCGUUACGCGCAAGCGCAAGACUUAAAAGUGGCGAACAGCAACCUACAUCCUCACAGAGAUAUGAAAAGUGUAAACAAAGGACGCUACAGCGAGAAGCCGCUGGGAGAGUAUUUGGUACCCCGGUUGCCCUGGAAACAGAUUUCAGAGGCACAUCACUGGAAAUGCUGAAAGGUUGGCCUCCCAGAGCGAGACGGAAGAGAGCUGACUGACAGACACAGACGGAGACGGCAGGAAAUAUACUAUAGGCUGGCUGAAACCCAACGGUGGAGGAACAGGGAUUUCGUAGGCCACCACACAGAUUUAGUAGUUAUUAUUCAAUAUAUAUGUGUACAUAAGCUCUUGGUAUUGAUACAGAUGCUUCAUGGGAACCUGGCAGUGUGAGGAUGUGAGUGGGCUGUGAGGCUUUCAUGGACCACAGGCCUGAAUGACUCAUUCCACAUGAACACACAGGCAUGUGCUGUGGAGGAAACAGCUAAACUUAGUGAGAAGAGAGGAAAAAAAAGGUAUUUCAUUCACAUCAAGCCAACCACACAGGCAUGGUGUUGUGAGAUUACUCUCAGCACAUCACAUGCCUCAAUGCCUUGACAUGCUCGGGGCCAUAUUACACUUUAGUCUGACACUUGGUUACUGACCAGUUUCCAGAUCAUCUUGGCCUGUCUCAGCCUCAGGACGAGUCAUCCUGUUCUCCUCCUCUUUUAAUGCUGAAGUCCAAAUUGCAAGUGUCACAUUGUAUCUCGUGGUUGGGAAUGUAUGGCUUCCUCUGGUGUGGGGAUUUAACAUUAGUGUGUUAUCAGAGGUCUUGUGCAUGGCUUGUUCUACAGCAUGUUUGACUGCAUAGCUACUGAAUGCCUUGUAUGAAUUAUUAACAGGCACAUGUAAUGUUUAUCCACAUUGUUGUUUUUACUAACAAAGGGAAAUAAACAAACUUAGCUUUGUCUUGCAAGUGUCAUGAUGUGCAGCACAUCGUCCAGAUUUAUGUGGAUGACUCUAAUGUCAUUGUGCCUGAUCCAAGGCAAAAAUUCCAUCUAAAAAAAUCUGAUAUUUUUUGACCUUGCUUUAAUGAAUACAUUUCUUACUGGUUAAGAGCCAAAAUUCUCUUUGCACUCGAGUCAUUUAUUUCCCAUCUCUGAGACAGCUGCAGUUUGCUUGUCUGUGUAAUGACAACCAAUCGGAGCUUCAAUUGGCCAUUAGUUUCCAUAAGGAAGGACUUAGGGCCAGGUGGGUCACAUAAUUAAAGGAGAACAAGUCAAAUCUGCGUGUCAUUAAGCGGAGAGAGAGAGAUGUAGUGCUCCUCUUUCUCUGUGAAAGGAGAGAAUAAAACUGAACAAUCCUUUAGACUAGGACUGUCACAGCCAUUAAAAUUAAAGGCUCAAGACAGGCGAAGGUGCUAUUUUAAAGCUGCCCACACACACAACAAAGAUUGGUCGCUGCCUGUUAUUCUGCGGGGAAUUAAGGGUUUUACAUCAUCUUGUUUAUUGUGUUGUCUAAAAAAAUUUGCAGCACAGUUUAUAACUGUAAAAUGAAUUCAAAAGGUUUCCUCUUUUGUAAUCUCUCUGUUAUAAUAUGACACCCCAUCAGUUUAGCCUACUGUACUCUUUGCAUCAGUAUUUGUACACGUUUUUUUUAAGAAGGUUGAACCAGUAACCAGCUGGACCCUCCAUGUAGUCUGCGUAGGCUGUUGUCAUUGAUCCCCCCCCCACACACACUCCAAUAACUGAGGAGUUGUGGACUGACUGGAGAGCUCACCUGGAAACAACAAGCAGGCUUUACCACCCUGAUGCUCAUGUGCACUGGACUGGAGACAAUUGAGAGCUGCAGAGUAUCUAUUGCUCCAUCGAUUCCUUGUAUCUUUAUCCCGCUUAAUGACUUUUUCGCUCUAUAAUUCAACUCAUGGAGCUGAUCAGGGCCUAGCAGGGAUACAGAGAAGUAACUUGUGGUGGGAGCUAUUUUGAUGAGGCAACGCAACAUGCCGGAGGAAGAGUGCAAAGGAUUUAAUGAGUGGAUUCUUGAAGAAAAGGAAGGAUUUGUGAAUUCUCUCGUCCCACAACACCCAACCCACUUAUCAUAAUCUCUCUGUCAUAGCAAAAUGAAGCUAUUUUGAGGCCUAUGUGGCGCACAAGAGAAUGAUAAACAUGUUUAGAUUAUACACACAUACUGGCUGCAACGCAGACACAUGGACAAAUGGUUAAAAAACUCCUCUCUAGAUAUAGUACAGGAGCUAUAGAGUCAUGUGAACCUCGGGUGAAUGAACAGCCUAAAUGCUGAGGAUGCUGCUCCUUAGGUCAUGUUAUCCCUCAGGCCAAGUGAAGAGAGCAAUGCUGGUCUUCACUAAGACUCAUCUGUCAAUCACAGCUUCCCUUCAUCAGUGGGAGCAACCUGACAGCCACAGAGCCUUUCUCCAUCACUGAGCACUGAAAACCCGCUGAUCCCCAGUCUAGACCCCCGUACACGCUCCACAGUCACUCUGUCUCUGCACACCCAAACAGCUGAAUAAAAUGCCACAGUGCUUUUUACAGGAUGUACACAUCAUAUCGAACACUUAAGACUGUGUUCAGCUUGCUAAGCAAUUACUCUUCAAGCAACGGCGAAUCCAUCAUGUUUUCGCUCAGAUCUGCAUGUCAGGAUGUCUCCCCUGAGUUCCAGUUUCUGUGCAGUCACCCAAACCCUAAACAGCACACAUACACAUACUUUUCCCUGGCCAAUGUCUGGUCCAUGUUGACACUGGCUCACCAUUUAUUUAUUUCUAGCUCCCAGGCUUGUCUCACUGAGCGUUGUCACUGGAGUUGUGCAGCUGUCAAAGUGAUGCAAGAAUAGAUUGAAGAUUGAAUGCAGUUUCAAUUGCUGAACUGGUUUACAUCACUUUUUUCCUUUCAGUGGAGCUUAGAUGUAUGUUAUGGGACCAAUUACUCCAUGAGAGGGCCACUGGCAGAGCGGCAGUGCUUGUUCCCUGGCUGUUUUAGAUAUUUAUGGGGAAACUAAUCUCUUAUACACAGAGUCUUGUGUCGAAUAUUAAUGUGUGUUGAUAUUCCACCCUAAUGUGACAAUUUUGAAAUGGAAAAAAUUCCUGUGGCAGGAAAUACUGUUAAAUGUAGCUGGUUGCAACAUGUCACCAGGUCAAACAGGGGACGUUAUGAUUGUUGUCAUAUAGAGGAGCAUGUGCAGGUAUACAGUUAAAGGCUCGCUGUUAGAAUACAUGAUGUGCUUGCACAAACAUGGCUUCAUAAAAGUGACUAGCAUGCAGCCUGUCAAAUGGAAGAACACAUUAAAGAUGACUGACUGUCACACUCAAAAUGAAUCCAGUUCUAUAGAAGUGAGCAGCAUACUGUACUUGGGAGGGUUAUCUAUGUUGUUUUCUGUCGGUAAAGCAUUACAUCUUUAGCUUGUGAGCUGAGCUGCUGUGUGUUAUCCUGAAGUAAAGGAUCGCUGGCAGCUCACAGAAACUCUGUUCUCUAUUAUCAAGUAUCAGUGUCUCCUUGAAUUGACACUUGCCAUGUCUCUUCCCCUCCUCAUCAUGUUUGUCUUUCUAGCUGUCAGAAAGUAAGGUUUACUAUAUUCACAGCUGUGCCACAACUGUAUUUACUUACAUUUUCUUUCACAACUGAAAUAGUUUUUGAUCAUGAAUCUGACUAGUUUCUAGCACGUCUAUUGUUUUAUCUUGAGUUAAUCAUUAUAUGCCUCCCAAACUCUGACUACCUCAAAAUGGCAUGUUUUGGUUUUUUGUUUUUUCAGAAUUCAGCGAUAGCAUUUCUCAUGAAUAUUUUCUGUGUCAUUCACAGGGAUAGGUGCUAUAAUGUGACUAGCACUUUCACGUCACUUCACUUUAUAGCUCACACCUUGAAUGAAUUAAUUGUAAAUGAAAGCUUGGAUUUUUAGAAAACGCAUCAGAGGCUUCUUGAAUGUAAUGUUAAAAAUGUACAAAUGAAACAAGAUUUCCAAAGUACCACAAUAAAAUCAAAUAAAAUCCUUGAA